rnacentral:rRNA from 1 species
AUUGAACGCUGGCGGAAUGCUUUACACAUGCAAGUCGAACGGCAGCACGGGGGCAGCCCUGGUGGCGAGUGGCGAACGGGUGAGUAAUACAUCGGAACGUGCCCGGUCGUGGGGGAUAACGUAGCGAAAGUUACGCUAAUACCGCAUACGAUCUGAGGAUGAAAGCGGGGGACCUUCGGGCCUCGCGCGAUCGGAGCGGCCGAUGUCAGAUUAGGUGGUUGGUGGGGUAAAGGCCUACCAAGCCGACGAUCUGUAGCUGGUCUGAGAGGACGACCAGCCACACUGGGACUGAGACACGGCCCAGACUCCUACGGGAGGCAGCAGUGGGGAAUUUUGGACAAUGGGCGCAAGCCUGAUCCAGCCAUUCCGCGUGCAGGACGAAGGCCUUCGGGUUGUAAACUGCUUUUGUACGGAACGAAAAGGCUCUGGCUAAUACCUGGGGCUCAUGACGGUACCGUAAGAAUAAGCACCGGCUAACUACGUG